UUGAUUACGUCCCUGCCCUUUGUACACACCGCCCGUCGCUGCCCGGGACUGAGCCGUUUCGAGAAAAGCGGAGACUGCUGUUUUGAUACCUUUCGGGGUGGGGAUUCUUUGGUGGAAACCGCUUUAAUCGCAGUGGCUUGAACCGGGCAAAAGUCGUAACAAGGUUUCCGUAGGUGAACCUGCGGAAGGAUCAUUA
rnacentral:rRNA from 1 species